rnacentral:rRNA from 1 species
CCUACGGGUGGCAGCAGUGGAGAAUAUUGCACAAUGGGGGAAACCCUGAUGCAGCGACGCCGCGUGGGUGAAGGAGUAUUUCGGUAUGUAAAGCUCUUUCAGCAGGGAAGAAAAUGACGGUACCUGACCAAGAAGCCGCGGCUAACUACGUGCCAGCAGCCGCGGUAAUACGUAGGGGGCAAGCGUUAUCCGGAUUUACAGGGGGUAAAGGGAGCGUAGACGGCAGCGCAAGUCUGGAGUGAAAGGCGGGGGCUCAACCCCCGGACUGCUCUGGAAACUGCCAGGCUGGAGUGCAGGAGAGGGAAGUGGAAUUCCUAGUGUAGCGGUGAAAUGCGUAGAUAUUAGGAGGAACACUAGUGGCGAAGGCGGCUUACUGGACAGUAACUGACGCUGAGGCUCGAAAGCGUGGGGAGCAAACAGGAUUAGAUACCCUGGUAGUC